GUGUGUGUCUGUGUAAGUGUGUGUGUGUGUGUGUGUGUGUGUGUGUCUGUGUCUGUCUAUUUCUGGCCUGGGAGGACUACAGCCAGAUCUGGACUCAAAAGCGGUCAGUCUAAAAUAUACCCUAAUAGGGAAAUUAUGCCCAUAUUUGACCUUAACAAAAAGGUAAUUCCACGGAGUGCAGCAAAGUUUUGAACAGAACUGUUUGAAUGAGGAGGCUCUGCUAAGAACCGCAUUCUUAAAACAGAAUUGCUUGUGUAAACAGACUCAAACAAUUUCAUCCUUUUGAACUUUGUAAGGAUACUUGUCUGGCUUACUAAGUGGAAAGUGAUAUGCAUAUGACUAUGUGCAUAUUCUUUUGUACAUGGAUAAUGUUGGAGGACAUUCACAACAAAUGUCACACUGAAAAAAGAAAAUUUUGUAUAGUGCGUGCAGAGGUAUUUAAAUAUUGUUAUAUUUUGUAGCUUUUAAUUUCAAAAUGACUUUGUGUAACGAUUCAUGAUGUCAUUGUUGACACAAACCUGUUUUCUACUGCGAGUUAAAAUGGUUGUCUUACAGUCACUGUAAAUGACGCCCUUACAAUAGAAUGACCAAUUAUUCAUUAAAUGGUUGAAUGUCA